AAAAAAGAAAUGCAGUUCUUUUAAGAUGGAAUGGCUGUCGGAGUAUGUGCAAAUUGAAGAAAAAGCGGUGAAAUUGGGUGAGAUUUUUUCUUUUUCAAGUGAGAAAGGUCUACUCUGCAAAACAUGCAGCGAUGCCAAAGUAGCAAGUGAGUUUUCAGAGGGAAAAAUGUGGACUGAAUGGAAGCUGGACUAUCUCAAGCGUCACGUUCAGCAUAAAAGUCAUUUAAAAGCUGUCGAAACUGUACGAAGACUCAAGAUGGGACAGGGGAUUGGUACAUUAUUGCGGGAGAGCGCAAAAGAGCGAGAGAAAAGGAACGAGCUGUCACACAAAACAAAAUCGGACCCUGAACAAGUUAAAGUUCUCAUUGACAAUAUUUUACUUGCCAUCAAAAUGAAUGCAUCAAUUCUGUCAGUUCAACAAAUCCACCUACAACCAUUGGAGAAGUGAGAAGGACAGACGUGAAAAAUAAGAACAGGACCCUCAGCCAGGCAAAGCAGGACUCUUCCCAUGGCCAAAGCAGGACUCUCACAUACUGUAUAACAUCUACACAUCCCAUUUUUCAGAUUUUUGUCUUUUUUUAAGUGGACCAAAUUACUUAUUUAAAAAUAAAGCGUGCAUAUCUAAUGUUG